GCUCAUUAUACAUGCAGAUUCCGAUGUUUACGUCCUUGUAUUUUCAUACAGUAUAAUAUACUGUAUGAAAAUACAAUGACGUAAACAGCGGAAUCUGCAUGUAUAUAAAUAAUGAGC